rnacentral:rRNA from 1 species
AACGAACGCUGGCGGCAGGCCUAACACCUGCAAGUCGAGCGCCCCGCAAGGGGAGCGGCGGACGGGUGAGUAACGCGUGGGAACGUGCCCUUUGCUACGGAAUAGCCUCGGGAAACUGGGAGUAAUACCGUAUGUGCCCUACGGGGGAAAGAUUUAUCGGCAAAGGAUCGGCCCGCGUUGGAUUAGGUAGUUGGUGGGGUAACGGCCUACCAAGCCGACGAUCCAUAGCUGGUUUGAGAGGAUGAUCAGCCACACUGGGACUGAGACACGGCCCAGACUCCUACGGGAGGCAGCAGUGGGGAAUCUUAGACAAUGGGCGCAAGCCUGAUCUAGCCAUGCCGCGUGAGCGAUGAAGGCCUUAGGGUUGUAAAGCUCUUUCAGUGGGGAAGAUAAUGACUGUACCCACAGAAGAAGCCCCGGCUAACUCCGUGCCAGCAGCCGCCGUAAUAC